GUUAACGUUGGCAGUGCGCCUAACACAUGCAAGUCGAGCGAUAUUAGCGGCAGACGAGAGAGUAAUAGUAAGGAACUUACCCCCGAGUGAAGGAUAGCCAGCCGAAAGGUUGGGUAAUCCUGCAUAAUAUCGAAAGAUCAAAGCCUUCGGGCGCUUGGGGAGAGGCCUUACUCCUAUCAGCUUGUUGGUGAGGUAAUGGCUCACCAAGGCGAUGACGGGUAGCUGGUCUGAGAGGAUGAUCAGCCUCGAUGGGACUGAGACACGGCCCAUACUCCUACGGGAGGCAGCAGUUGGGGAUUUUGCACAAUGGAGGAAACUCUGAUGCAGCGACACUGCGUGAAGGAUGAAGGUUCUAGGAUCGUAAACUUCUUUUAUCAGGGAGUAAUCUUGAAAGUACCUGAUGAAUAAGGACCGGCUAACUACGUG
rnacentral:rRNA from 1 species